CCAUCGGUGUUCUUCCCGAUAUCUGCGCAUUCCACCGCUACACCGGGAAUUCCGCUCUCCUCUACCGCACUCGAGCCGCCCAGUCCGGAACCCGGCCCGAGGUUGAGCCCCGGGGUUAGAGGUUCCGCUUAGGCGGCCGCCUACGCGCGCUUUACGCCCAAUGAAUCCGGAUAACGCUCGCCCCCUACGUAUUACCGCGGCUGCUGGCACGUAGUUAGCCGGAGCUUCUUCUGCAGGUACCGUCGUGGUCUUCCCUGCUGAAAGCGGUUUACGACCCGAGGGCCUUCGUCCCGCACGCGGCGUUGCUGCGUCAGGGGUUCCCCCAUUGCGCAAAAUUCCCCACUGCUGCCUCCCGUAGGAGUCUGGGCCGUAUCUCAGUCCCAAUGUGGCCGAUCGACCUCUCAGUCCGGCUACCCAUCGUCGGCUAGGUGGGCCUCUACCCCGCCUACUACCUAAUGGGCCGCGACCCCAUCCCGCGCCGUCGGGGCUUUCCCGCCGCCCCCAUGCGGGGGCCGCGGAGUAUCCGGUAUUAGCCGCCGUUUCCAGCGGUUGUCCCGGAGCGCGGGGCAGGUUGGUCACGUGUUACUCACCCGUUCGCCACUGUAUGUCCGCCCGAGGGCGGUUUAACCGUUCGACUUGCAUGUGUUAGG
rnacentral:rRNA from 1 species